rnacentral:rRNA from 2 species
UGUUCCUGCUCAGGAUGACGCUUGCGGCGUGCCUAAUACAUGCAAGUCGAGCGAACUGAUUAGAAGCUUGCUUCUAUGACGUUGCGGCGGACGGGUGAGUAACACGUGGGCAACCUGCCUGUAAGACUGGGAUAACUUCGGGAAACCGAAGCUAAUACCGGAUAGGAUCUUCUCCUUCAUGGGAGAUGAUUGAAAGAUGGUUUCGGCUAUCACUUACAGAUGGGCCCGCGGUGCAUUAGCUAGUUGGUGAGGUAACGGCUCACCAAGGCAACGAUGCAUAGCCGACCUGAGAGGGUGAUCGGCCACACUGGGACUGAGACACGGCCCAGACUCCUACGGGAGGCAGCAGUAGGGAAUCUUCCGCAAUGGACGAAAGUCUGACGGAGCAACGCCGCGUGAGUGAUGAAGGCUUUCGGGUCGUAAAACUCUGUUGUUAGGGAAGAACAAGUACGAGAGUAACUGCUCGUCUUUGACGGUACCUAACCAGAAAGCCACG